rnacentral:rRNA from 1 species
AGCGAACGCUGGCGGCAGGCCUAACACAUGCAAGUCGAGCGGAUGAGUGGAGCUUGCUCCAUGAUUCAGCGGCGGACGGGUGAGUAAUGCCUAGGAAUCUGCCUGAUAGUGGGGGACAACGUUUCGAAAGGAACGCUAAUACCGCAUACGUCCUACGAGAGAAAGCAGGGGACCUUCGGGCCUUGCGCUACCAGAUGAGCCUAGGUCGGAUUAGCUAGUAGGUGAGGUAAUGGCUCGCCUAGGCGACGAUACGUAACUGGUCUGAGAGGAUGAUCAGUCACACUGGAACUGAGACACGGUCCAGACUCCUACGGGAGGCAGCAGUGGGGAAUAUUGGACAAUGGGCGAAAGCCUGAUCCAGCCAUGCCGCAUGUGUGAAGAAGGUCUUCGGAUUGUAAAGCACUUUAAGUUGGGAGGAAGGGCAGUAAGUUAAUACCUUGCUGUUUUGACGUUACCAACAGAAUAAGCACCGGCUAACUUCGUGCCAGCCGCCGCCGUAAUAC